rnacentral:rRNA from 1 species
UACGUAGGGUGCAAGCGUUAAUCGGAAUUACUGGGCGUAAAGCGUGCGCAGGCGGUUGUGCAAGACAGAUGUGAAAUCCCCGGGCUCAACCUGGGAACUGCAUUUGUGACUGCACAGCUAGAGUACGGUAGAGGGGGGGGAUGGAAUUCCGCGUGUAGCAGUGAAAUGCGUAGAUAUCAGGAGGAACACCGAUGGCGAAGGCAGGUCUCUGGGCUGACACUGACGCUCAUGCACGAAAGCGUGGGGAGCAAACAGG